GAUGAACGCUAGCGGCAGGCCUAAUACAUGCAAGUCGGACGGGAUUCAGGAGCUUGCUUCUGAUGAGAGUGGCGCACGGGUGCGUAACACGUAUGUAACCUACCUUUAUCAGGGGGAUAGCCUCUCGAAAGAGAGAUUAAGCCCGCAUAAAAUCACAGCACAGCAUUGUGUAAUGAUCAAAUAUUUAUAGGAUAAAGAUGGGCAUGCGGAACAUUAGCUAGAUGGCGGGGUAACGGCCCACCAUGGCGACGAUGUUUAGGGGAUCUGAGAGGAUGGCCCCCCACACUGGUACUGAGACACGGACCAGACGCCUACGGGAGGCAGCAGUAAGGAAUAUUGGUCAAUGGGCGGAAGCCUGAACCAGCCAUGCCGCGUGCAGGAAGACGGCCCUACGGGUUGUAAACUGCUUUUAUACGGGAAUAAACCCAGAUACGUGUAUCUGGCUGAAUGUACUGUAAGAAUAAGGAUCGGCUAACUCCGUG
rnacentral:rRNA from 1 species